AUCAACGCUGGCGGCGUGCCUCAGACAUGCAAGUCGAACGAGAAGGCUCCUUCGGGAGCCGGAAAGUGGCGCACGGGUGAGUAACACGUGGGUAAUUUACCUUCGGGUGGGGAACAACAGCCGGAAACGGCUGCUAAUACCGCAUAAUGCAGCGGCACCUAAUGGUGACAGUUGUUAAAGCGGGGGAUCGCAAGACCUCGCGCCUGAAGAGAAGCCUGCGGCGGAUUAGGUAGUUGGUGAGGUAAUGGCUCACCAAGCCUGCGAUCUGUAGCCGGCCUGAGAGGGCGGUCGGCCACACUGACACUGAACAACGGGUCAGACUCCUACGGGGAGGCAG
rnacentral:rRNA from 1 species